AUAGAUAUAAAAUUAAUAAUAAUUUUUACCUUUUGCAUCAUGAUUUAAUAAUUAAGUAUUGAUAUUCAAAUUACACGAAACUAAGGGAUAUAGAUUAUUUUAAGACAGUGUGUUACUGUUUAUAAAUUUAUUUAGAUUUGAUAAAUAAGACGUCCUUAGUUAUAACUUGUAUAAUAAUUGUUAAUUUUUAAAUACGACUUUGUAGAUAAAGUUGUAUAAUAUUUAAGAAAUAUUAUUUUUAAUAAUAAUUGGGUUGAAAAGUGACUUAUUUUGUGAAUUUGUUAUAAAACUUGUAUGUUGUGAAUUUUCUUAUUAUAUGUUAUUAUUUAAAACUAAUUAAUUAAAUGUUAAAAUAAGUAAUUAUAUAAUUUUUCUUUUUUUUCAAAUUAGGUUGAACUGUUUAUUAAAAACAUUUUUAUUACUAUAUUUUAAUGAUAUUCUCUGCCCUAUGUAAAUUAUAAAUGGCCGCAGUAUUUUGACUGUGCAAAGGUAGCAUAAUUAAUUGUCCUCUAAAUAAGGAAUUGUCUGAAAGAGAGUUUUAAUCUAAAAUAAAAAGAAAAUAAUAUGAAAUUAGUUAAUAGGUGCAGAACCCUAUGUAAUUAAAUAAGACGGAAAGACCCUAAAAGCUUAAUUUUACUUUAUUUGGGGUAAAGAAUUAUUAUGUAUAAUUUUUAAGAACUUAUUAUAGAAUUAUAGGUAUAAGUUACUUUAGGGAUAACUGGGUUAGAAGCUAGGAGAGUUCUUAUCAAUUAGCUUGAAUGCCACCUCGAUGUUGACUUGGGAACACUAUUUUGUUGUAGAAGCUUUAAAAGUUAGCCUGUUCGGCUAUUAAAUCCCAUGAGUUGAGUUUAAACCGGUGUAAGCCAGGUUGGUUCUUAUCUAUUAAUUUUACUUAUAGUACGAAAGGAUUUAAGUAAGCUAAUUUUUA
rnacentral:rRNA from 1 species